AUGCAGAUGCACAAUUUCUUUAAUUCUGCCUUGUGGAAGUGCACACACAUUAGUGGCUAAGAGAAACAUUUUAUUUGUGUCCUUUUUUUUCCUGUUUCUUUCUGUCUGUCUCUCUCUCUUUUUUAAAGAAUUGAAGUUAGUUUUAUUCAAAAGUCCUACUGAGGACUGAGACCUAGAACCCAAGAGCAGUUCUGUCAGAUCGUUCCAGCACAGGGCUUCAGCUCACUGCUUAGCGACCUGUGUUAGGGGUUCAGUAUGUACAAAAUCACAUCACACUUGCUCAGAAGUUAUAUUAAAGCAGAAUCACAUCUAGGUUUGGGCAUAAGAAUAAUUCUCAUUAUAUAUUACAGAGGUAUAAUCACUAACCCCAUCAGACAUUAUUUUAUGUGUAGGAAAAGGCAAAAACAAGGGUCAUUCGUCUUUCAAGGAAUAUAGUGACUCAGGCAAAAGACAUGGAAGGUCAUGUGCUCAGGCCUAUUUUGUCUUCAAAGUGUUUGCCUUUUUCUUAGAAACAAUAAUUAAUAAAGUAAAAAUUUUUAGUAGCUAAACCUAAGCAAAACAUUACUGGCCUUAAAAGAGUCAAAUGGGUAAAAAUUUUGUUUUCAUUAGUUUGAGGAGACCUGUAAUUAUAUAUGUUCUUAAUUACUUAUUGUAUUUAUUGGAUAAUGUAAUAGACAACACUCUGUUGCGAUCAAGAAUAAUAUGUAUUAGCAUACUGUACUUAUACUACAUUAAAUCUUUCUCAAGGAUUAAUAAAGAAAGCACGUACACAUCAGUUACAACAGAAAUACUCUUGGGAAAAUAAAGUGAUGUGAAUAUUUUGCUUGUUGACAUACCUGAAAUACGUACCCGUGGCUUUUAGGAAAUCGAGCAUACAAUCAUCUGAAUUAAAUGGGAAGAGGUCAAAUGAGGACAAUUCAAUUUUUACAGCUUAUCUUUUUGUUUGUUUGCUUCAGCUCACUCACUCACACACACAGAUGCAGCUAUGUCCCUGCCCCAUGGCUUAUAUUUUUUUCUCACAAAGCUCAUGCAAACUCUUACAUACCCAUACACUACUUUAUAGAUAUGAGGUCUCACACUUAUUACUUGACUUUGAUGUCUUAUGUAUUUUAAAUAUGUAAAACAGAAAUGAUAUCUUCCUUGCAACAUUGUUGCAAAGAUUAAAUGAGGUAAAAAAUUGCAAAAAAAAAAAAACAACAACAGUUAAAGGUCUUAAACAUAGUAGCUAUUGUUAUUUUUAUGUGUGUGAUGAUAUCCUGUUACCACUAUUGCCAAUGAUGUGAUAAAACUAGCAACAGCCAGUGUGGUAUGCUUAUUAGUUGCCAAAUACUAUGCUGAAUGUAGCUUUAUAUACCUCAGCCCAUUUAAUUUGAGUAGACGAUAUUAUCCCCAUUUUACAGAUAGAGAAUAUGGACUUAAAUACAGGUGUGUACGCCAUUUGUUAAAAAAAGAUUCACUUCUGAGAGCUCAUAACAGAGUAGUUAAGAGCCUGAACGCUGUGGCCAGAUCCUCUGGGUUCUAACCCUGGGCUCUGCCACUUCCUUGCACCAUGACUUGGGCCAGCUGCCAAUUUACUCUGUUGUCUCAAUUUCUUUAUUUGUGAAGUAGGAAUAAUAUUCUUACCUAUAAUUCAUAAGGCUGUUACAACUAUUAAAGGAGGAAUGUUUAUGAGGCACUCUAGAAUUGUGUCUGGCACAUAGUAAGUGCUAUAAAAGUGUUUGCUUAAUAAAAUAAAGAGACUUUAAAUUACAUUUGACUGGUAGGACAAUUUCAAAAGCAAUUUUUAAUCAUCUUGUUUAGGAAAUUUUUUUCUUCUUUUUAAAAUCAACUCCCAAGCACUUGGAAGGAAUUUCUGUGAGUUUGUUAUAACCCACAGAUCUAAAAAGGUUUGUGUUAAAGUUAUUUGGAAGCAAUAUUAGGUUCAGAAGAGGGCAAAUGACGUGACAUUCUCAGAUCAUAAACAUCUUUUGUGUAAGUCAUGUCCACAUAAUUUACUUGCAAGUUAUGUUCCAUCCCACUGAGGUUCCUCCAAGAGCUUGACUAUCACUGGUUCCAGUUUGAGGAGCUAGGCCCCUUUUGUAGUUAACCAGAAUCCAUAUCCACCUAGAAAACAUGUAGCUCCCGAACAAUGAGCACACAUGGACACAUGGGGGGAAACAGCACACACUGGGGCCUGUGGGAUGGAGGAAGGGAGAGCAUCAGGCAGAAUAGCUAAUGGAUGCUGGGUGAUAUGGUUUGGCUAUGUCCCCACCCAAAUCUCAUCUUGAAUUGUAACUCCCACAAUUUCCACGUUUCAUGGGGGGAACCCACGGGGAAGUGACUGAAUUAUGGGGGCGGGUCUUUCCUGUGCUGUUCUCAAGAUAGUGAAUGAGUCUCACAGGAUCUGAUGGUUUGAUAAGGGGAAACCCAUUUUGCUUGGCCGUCAUUCUCUCUGCCUGCCGCCAUCCACGCAAGAUGUGACUUGCUCCUCCUUGCCUUCCACCGUGAUUGCUGAGGCUUCCCCAGCCACGUUGAACUGUGAGUUCUCCAUUACACCUCUUUCCUUUGUAAAUUGCCCAGCCUAGUGUAUGUCUUUAUCAGCAGCAUGAAAAUGGACUGAUACACUGGGCUUAAUACCAAGAUGAUGGGUUGAU
rnacentral:lncRNA from 10 species